UGCGUAGGCGGUCUUUCAAGCCAGAAGUGAAGGGCUACGGCUCAACCGUAGUAAGCUUUUGGAACUGUAAGACUUGAGUGCAGGAGAGGAGAGUGGAAUUCCUAGUGUAGCGGUGAAAUGCGUAGAUAUUAGGAGGAACACCAGUAGCGAAGGCGGCUCUCUGGACUGUAACUGACGCUGAGGCACGAAAGCGUGGGGAGCAAACA
rnacentral:rRNA from 1 species